rnacentral:rRNA from 1 species
AGUCUAGCAUGUGCGCGAGUCAUGGAGCUCGUACGAACCUCAAAGGCGCAAUGAAAGUGAAUGCGUACCUACGUGCGCACAGGCGGGAUCGGUCGCCGUUCGCGGCGCCCGCGCACCGCCGGCCCGUCUUGGCCCCAUCGCGGGCGAGGCGGAGCAAGAGCGCACACGCUGGGACCCGAAAGAUGGUGAACUAUGUCUGAGUAGGGCGAAGUCAGAGGAAACUCUGAUGGAGGCCCGCAGCGAUUCUGACGUGCAAAUCGAUCGUCAAACUUGGAUAUAGGGGCGAAAGACUAAUCGAACCAUCUAGUAGCUGGUUCCCUC